rnacentral:snRNA from 1 species
UUUGCUUUUAUCCCUUUUGGCUUAGAUCAAGUGUAGUAUCUGUUCUUAUCAGCGGGUGGGAUAUCUCCUAGAUAAAGGAUAUAUGGGAGUCUCCAUGCAUUGGUAGAUGGCAGAGAACCACUU